rnacentral:rRNA from 1 species
CAGCAGCCGCGGUAAUACGUAGGGUCCAAGCGUUAAUCGGAAUUACUGGGCGUAAAGCGUGCGCAGGCGGUUGUGCAAGACCGAUGUGAAAUCCCCGAGUUUAACUUGGGAAUUGCAUUGGUGACUGCACGGCUAGAGUGUGUCAGAGGGGGGUAGAAUUCCACGUGUAGCAGUGAAAUGCGUAGAGAUGUGGAGGAAUACCGAUGGCGAAGGCAGCCCCCUGGGAUAACACUGACGCUCAUGCACGAAAGCGUGGGGAGCAAACAGGAUAGAUACCCUGGUAGUCCACGCCCUAAACGAUGUCAACUAGUUGUUGGGGAUUCAUUUCUCUUAGUAACGUAGCUAACGCGUGAAGUUGACCGCCUGGGGAGUACGGUCGCAAGAUUAAAACUCAAAGAAAUUGACGG